rnacentral:lncRNA from 1 species
AGAGAGCAUAAAAAUGAAAAUACAAUUAGGUCAAAAUGGUCCCAGAAAAUACAGAUGUUUUGUUGUUAUAAAAGAAGAAUGUGUUAUUUUGUGCAAAUUACAAUUCCAAAAAAGAGUUUAUAUCAUCCAUAAUUUCUAUACAAUACACGUUACGGUAUUCAAUAGUAAUAAACGUUUUUUGUUGAAUAAUUGAUUCUUCAUAUAUCCAAUAUAUAGGGAAUACAUAAAUUGAUACAAAUGAUUUUUUAGAUUAGUAUAAAAAGCAAAGCAGACGAAAGUGAAAAAGCGGUGAAUCUCCGUACGAAUUUCCCGGGGAAAGGUACAGACAAAACACAUGGACACAUGCGACGCCGUGUCUCCGGUGAAUCCUUACGAUGUAAUCUAAACAUAUUUAGUGAAUUUAAAAAAUUGUUAAUGCUAAUGUGAAUAUAAUAAAGGGUUAUAAAUAUAGACAUAAA